GCAUAUCAAUAAGCGGAGGAAAAGAAACCAACCGGGAUUGCCUCAGUAACGGCGAGUGAAGCGGCAAGAGCUCAAAUUUGAAAUCCUUCGGGAGUUGUAAUUUGUAGGUUGUGACCUGAGCAAGCAGCACAAGUCUCCUGGAACGGAGCGCCUUAGAGGGUGAGAGCCCCGUAAGCUGUGGCUCAUUGUAGGUCGCUUCCAAAGAGUCGAGUUGUUUGGGAAUGCAGCUCUAAGUGGGUGGUAAAUUCCAUCUAAAGCUAAAUAUUGGCGAGAGACCGAUAGCGAACAAGUACAGUGAUGGAAAGAUGAAAAGAACUUUGAAAAGAGAGUGAAAAAGUACGUGAAAUUGUUAAAAGGGAAGGGUACUGACUGAGACUUGGGGUGUGUGUUCAGCUGUCGUUCGCGUCAGUGUACUCAUACAUUCUAGGCCAGGGAGAGGUAUCGGGGUGAGAAAAAACGUCAGGAACGUGGCUCUUCGGAGUGUUAUAGCCUGGCGCAAUAUCGCCACUGGUGCCUCAGGACUGCGCUUUUUCUAGGUCUCUGGCGUAAUGAUAUAGUACCGCCCGUCUUGAAACACGGACC
rnacentral:rRNA from 1 species